rnacentral:rRNA from 1 species
GACGAACGCUGGCGGCGUGCUUAACACAUGCGAGUCGAACGGAAAGGCCCUUCGGGGUACUCGAGUGGCGAACGGGUGAGUAACACGUGGGUGAUCUGCCCUGCACUUUGGGAUAAGCCUGGGAAACUGGGUCUAAUACCGAAUAGGACCACGCGCUUCAUGGUGUGUGGUGGAAAGCUUUUGCGGUGUGGGAUGGGCCCGCGGCCUAUCAGCUUGUUGGUGGGGUAAUGGCCUACCAAGGCGACGACGGGUAGCCGGCCUGAGAGGGUGACCGGCCACACUGGGACUGAGAUACGGCCCAGACUCCUGCGGGAGGCAGCAGUGGGGAAUAUUGCACAAUGGGCGCAAGCCUGAUGCAGCGACGCCGCGUGAGGGAUGACGGCCUUCGGGUUGUAAACCUCUUUCACCAGGGACGAAGCGUAAGUGACGGUACCUGGAGAAGAAGCACCGGCCAACUACGUG